GCGCCUGUAGCUCAGUUGGAUAGAGCAACGGACUUCUAAUCCGUAGGUCACACGUUCGAGUCGUGUCAGGCGUACCA
rnacentral:tRNA from 1 species